rnacentral:lncRNA from 1 species
GUAGUGUGUUGGAGCCAGCUCGGACUAGCUUAGAAGAGUCAACUGUGCACGAUGCUUUUCAACUCUGUCUUCAGGGACUUCAGGAGCACUGCUUAAAACCGGCCUUGGUGAGGAGGGAUUUAUUUCAUUUGCUCCUGAAGUUAAAUCUCAUGAAAUCAUGUGAAAUUCAGUGAUGUGUUACUGGGAACAAAAAGGGUUACGUUAUUAAUUGUGAUGCCUUCCCACAAGAGCUGUGUCUGUACUGUGCCACAUAACCCCUGAAGCUGAAUAAAGAACUUUCUCCUUGAUUCCCCCAGCCCUCCAAAAACAUCAGCAGGUGAUGAGGUCCCAUUGUAAAUGACCCAAGGACAAACAGCUCAUGACUUCAAAGGAGGCCUCUUCAACCCAGGGCAAAUUCAGGCCUUCAUUCCAGGGGUCUGUAAGCAAGUACUGAGUGAAGAGAUAUCCUAAAAUCAAUCGUUCCUCUUUGCCAACCCUGGAUAAUGGCAACAACUUCUUUAGUGGCAUGCUGCAUGCUCUGUUUGGUCAUGUCCAGAGAUACCCAAGAUAAAGAAGUUUGAUAAAUAUACACAUUAACUCAGCAAAAAUAACAUGGUUAUUUUCAUGAAUAUUGCACUUGGGCACAUCAGCAAAAUUCAAAAGUGAUAAAAGGUGAGCAUUGUAUAUGAAUUUUGCAUAUGUACAUGGUAAUAUUUUGACACUAGGAACAAUAUUUUAAGUUGAAAUGUCUAUAUUUUAAUUUAGUAAAGAUUUGGCAAGCCCCUGCUAUAUUAGCAAUAUCAAGAUAAUGAGAUAAAGAUCCCACUCUCAAUAAAAAUAUAAAAUUAUACAUGUUUCUUGUGCCCAUCAUCAGCCAUCGUUAUGAACAUCACUCUGAACUGUUAUGCACAAUAAGAUAACUAGAGGGUUAAAAAUGAAGGUUUUACUGCUCACGUUGAAUAUUAUUUUUAGAAAAGAAAGUCAUUUCUAUUAUAGAGGAGGCAUUGUGGUCUACUAUAAUGGCAAGCAUAUUAAAAACAAUGCAUUCCUGGUGAAAUAAUGCUUAGAGCAUAGUCAACAAAAUAAGCAGGCUGCUGAAAAAAGUUUAAAUGUCAUAUUUCAUUAAUUCUAAGACACAUUUCCUCCUGCUUUUAGAUCUCUCAAAUUGAAAGGCAUCUUACAACCUAUAGAUGAAAUCUAGUAAAUAGAAUAAGAUAAAAAGUAUCUUAGUUUCUUUCCUUGGGUUGUUUGCCUUUCUUUUAAGGGAAGGUUUGUUUGACUGUUGUGUUUUGUUUUUAACAGCUUGUUUAUGAAUCUUCCCUUUUCUAGCGUUAAUGAUUGUGUGAGCCUAGAAUUUAAAUGGUACAAAACUCUGAUUUUUGUUUUUAUUCUUUGUUCUGACCAUUACUGAGGGGAGUACAGGACACUGAAGCAGAAACAAGGUCUGAAAGUGGCAAUGUGGACCUUGCUCCUCUGUGGAGGACUCUGGUACCUGUCUGUGUCUGAAUCUUGCCACUUCCACUUAUCUAGCUUUGCGAUCUGGAAAAGAUUAACUUUAGCCUCUCUGUGCCUCAGUUUCUUCAAGUGCUGAAUAAUGGUAUCUACCUCAUAGUGCUGCUAUGAGGGUUGAGUUUAAUAUAAGUAAGGCCUUAGAAUAAUGCCUGGCACAUACUAAAUAUUCUCUCAACUUUAGCUGUUACCAUUGUGCCUCACUUCC